UGUGAGUUAUCUUUUCAGCAUUGUGCCUCAGAUCCCACCAGUGUUUGAGGGUUUUGCUGGAUCUGUUUGGAGACAGUGUCACUUUGGCAGUCAUCCACGUCUUCUGGUUUCCACAGAACAUAAGAAAGUGGAUCUAAUAGAUGUUAUGGACACCAACAACUUGAAAGAAACAAACUUGUUCCAGUUACCAAGCAAACACCUGACUCAAUGUGAAGACAUCUUGGUUACUAAGCAGCAUCCUAGCAACUACUUUUGGCACUUUGUGGCCACUCAUCACCAACUGUUUAUGUUUGAUGAGAGACUCCCACAGACACCUGUGUUGGAAUGGAACCAUCUUCUAAAGAUGCCUCCAAUC